CUGUCUAUGGGAGGGAGCGCCGCGUUGCCAUGGCAGCGAGCAGGUCCGGGCGCCGCUCUGCCCCAGGGAGGAGAGGGGAAGGGGCAGAGGGCGUCUUCCUUCCUUGGUAUUUACGGGUGGGGGUCGGGGUAGGGCACAGGACCUAGCAUUUUGCUAAAUCUUUGGAGGAUACAGGAUGUAUUCAUGUUGGCCCCUGCCUUCACGAGACUUACAGUUAGGCCGGGCGCCCUCGGAAAAUGCAUCUGCUUAUGUCCUGUGUCCUGAGGACUUAGGGGUGAGCCAAAGUUGACAUAGCCCCGACCCACCGGGAGCAGACUUCUUGGGAGGAAUGUGAUUGACACAGCAUUUACAAGGGAGAUGGAUUUCUCAAAGGAAAGCUGUUGUGCAUGCAUUUGUCGGGGAUCUGAUCUGUUCGUGGUCUCAGGAUACCUUCUUUGAGGUGAACAGUGCUUUCUUUGAAAGGAGCUGUGACUUCAAUUAGAUUUUGAAAAAUAAAUGAUCUUGUAGCUGUGGACUUUUAAGUUAGCCUGUUUACAUUGUGUUACUGCAAACGUAUAGAAGCUUGGAGUUGGGUCUAGAAUUCAUCCAGUCUUUUCACACAGAUGAGGAGACAGAAGAAGGGGGAGGAUGAGAAGACUACAGAUAUACUGAGAAGAGUAAGAUCACAGUGGAGUGAGGCUGGAAGGAGCCCAAAGGGAGGCUGCAUAGGGACUGAGGGCAGGCAGCCCCACAUCCCAGGCAGCUGGCCUCCCCCGGAUUGAAGAUUCUGACAGGAGCCCUCUCCAUGCACCUCCAGUCCCUCUCUGAGCACGUCUCAGCUAUUUAUUUGGUACCUAAUAUGUGCUGGACCUUCUGCUUGGUGCUGAGCACACAGGCCCCCAGACUGUGAGGCUCUCAUGCAGUCAUGGUGAUGAUGUGCAAGUAUGGUUUGACAGAGCUGGGAAGCAAAUAUUAUCUUAAAUAAAUCUACUCUUCGGAAGCUUUUCAGGUACUUGUAGAAUUUAUGAGGUUUUGAUAUGUUGACCAGGGACUGAAGAUAGGUUUGGCUUUAAGAUUUGUUGGUAUUGUUCUAGCUAAUGUUGAACAAAUCUUACAGAGCUUUUGGGCAUAAAAUAUUUGUUUUUGACCCUGAUGUUGAGAAGGUAUUUUUAGUUUCAUUAUUUCAUUUCAGUGUUGAAUUGAUUUAUUACCUCUUCAAAUUAUUUUCAUUAUCAAAACCUUCCAGACACAUUGUCCCGCUUUGGUGCCUGUACCACGACUGUGAAUAUGAUUAGGAAGAAGGCAGAUUGGGUUUUGGAAAUUAAGAACUGGUUCUUCAUGGGAUUCUUUGUGAUAAAACUUGGAAGUAAUGAAACAGUCAUUGGUUUCUGUUACCCACAAUUAAGAAUGUAUGUAAAAGAGGUGCUAGGGAGAAGACUAUAUAGUACUUUUAUUUCCUAAUGGAGACAAAUUUUGGGAUACGGAGGAAAAUAUAAAAUGAGAAGGGCAAUACUAUUACAUGGAUUAAAACCCUGAAGAAAAAAUAGUAAUCAUUCAUUCAUUUGACAUGCUCAGUCAUUUCCUGAACAUCUCACUGUGCAAAGAUAUUACUGAAAUAAACAAGACACAACUUUUGCUUUUUAGCAUCUAAAUGAUGAUACUUGGCAGUCAGCUAAUCUUUUAGCAGGAAGAACUGGAAAGAGAAGCGAACAUCUUUAACACAGUCUACAUCAGAAUCUGUUUUCUUAGCUAUUGUCUGCAUAUUGAUGAACAAAGAUGAGCACAUGGAAAGUAGCACUUUAGCUCUUUCUAGUCCUUUUUUUUCUGUUUUCCUUUUAGCAUAAAAAUUAGUUGUUACAUGAGAGGCAAACAUCAUUGAAAUUUCUGGUCUGAAGUCAAAAAAAGCCAAAAAGUACCUUGGGUUUCUACCUUUUUCUUUUUUAUUUCUUGGGUUGCUAGCAGAGCUUGGAGGUUUCUUUGGUCAAAAAGCUACCUCAGUAGAUGAAGCCCUGAAAGCGAAUAGCAGCUCAGACCACCCUCCCUGGGCUUUGUGUUCCUUACCACAAGCCUGUAGACAGUGAGUGAGACAGGCUGGGAAGUGGUGCAGGGACAGGAAGGAGAAGGAAGCUGGGGGCUGGGGCUGCAACCGUAGUUAACGUUAGCAGUUCUAGGAGACAGUACAUUUCAGGGAAUGCUAAAACAACUUACUCUUAAAUUCUGUGUUUAUAAAGCAUAACUUGCCACAUCUAUGUAAGACAUAAAAGCCUGGACCUCCUUCUGGCUACUUGGUCUCUCCCUUUUUCUUUCAUUUACUUUUCUUUUUGCAACCUGUUUGAAUGUGUUUGAGAACCCCCAAAUUGGGGUAUUCCUACUCUAGACUUAUUUACCCUUUUGUUUAACAGCUAUAAACCCACAAGGCAGAAUCUUUAGUUUACUAUCUUUGCACUGUUCAUAGUCAAUGAUUUUUGGUUCAGAAUAGUUGCCACUCUAUUUUUCUAUCAGCAGAUGCCAAAAUUAGACAACCACGAGAACAUCAUGCAGGAAAGACUCAGACCUUAAUCUAAUAUUUUGGAAAAAGGCAGUCAUCAUUAGCAGUUUUUUUUUUCGUUUUGAAAAAAAUUAUGAGAUUUUUGUGCUUUAUUUAUUUUCCUAGAAUGAGUUUAUUAUUGACAACAUCCCCAGCAUUUAACCUUGAUGACAAGAUAGGGAAAAGAUAUAGGAUACUUGGUCUUCUUUAGUUUUUCUGCUAUUUUCUGUUGGUCUUCAUGGGCAAGGCAGAUGGUUACAACUACCAGAUAGAGGCAAUUGGCUACCUGGAUCCUUAUAAUAGAUAAUGAAGGGGAAAUAGGCACCCCUUUUGGUGAUAACAGAUAAUAUUUUGAAGAGAAAGACAAAUGAUUAGAAUCACCAGUGACUGAUCUCUUCUUUUUAUUACCCAAUUAGUCCCAUUUUAUAUUUUAAAAGUGUCACUGUAUACUUCAAGAAUCAGCAUUUCAGAGAUCAUAUGUGUUAGAAUGGGAAAAGCUCAGGCCAGUGGUGCUAAAUAGUCUCUCUGACCAAACAGGGACUUUUGAGUUCUACUGUGCCUCAGUUCUCUUUCCCAGCCCAAGCCUUUUAAAUGUCUCUUUCAUUCUGCCCCCAGUUUAUAUGUUUCUGAAUAAUCUUGGAGCAACGCCUUUAAUCGUGGAAGAAGAGUAGCCAAUGGGACUUUUAAGAAAAUACAUAACUAAAAGGAAAACAACUGGCCAUAAAUGGCAAGGUUAUGGCAUAGGGUUGAAGUGUAGGGAAGACAAAUGUCACGGUGCACCAGGGUGAUCUUUGUCUACUGGUGCCCACCUUGGGUUCAGGGCAAGAUCCCUGUCCAUAUGACUGCCCAAGGGUAUCCCCAGGUAAUGAAUUGGUAUAGCCAAGGCCAAGGUUAUUAUCACAUAGAAUAGAGAGCUUCUCCCUUAGGUCUUGGUGCCGGCUUCUAUGACAGAUCCUUUAAGAAUACUUGGCCUUGGCUGGCAGCACAGGCAGCUUAAUUGUUACUGCAAAAGUAAAGUUAAAGUGGCUUCCUAGAGCAGAAAUUCCUCUUUAGAGAAGGUGGGAACUCUUGAGAAGUUAAAGAAAAAAUUGCCUGUGGCCUGUCAUUUGGCAAUCUGCUGAGAGACUGUUUUAUCUGAAUUCCUAAUUGAAGCCCAAAUUAAACCCAGGGAAAUGUUCACAUGAAAAGCCCCACAAGAAUGAGUUUUCAGAUUCUAUCAGCUCAAAAGAAUCUCAUGUGAAAGUCCUUAACUCAAACAUCUGACACGCUUUUCAUCAGCUGGUCCCUGAGAGUCCUGAGAAAGAGGUUACGCUGCCUUCAAUGUACAGAGAACAACUUGUCUGAGUUAUUACAUACUUUCCUUCCUAGUGAUUCUUGUAACAGAAAUCAGAAUCUACCCAAUUGGAUGAGUGUGUAGGUAUGGGGGAUGGUGGAAAAUAUGAUUACUAAAGGUCCUAUUCUGAAAGGCAAGAAGUGGGAACACUGGGAGAGAAGCCACUUUGUUGCUAAGAUGAUAUGUUUGAUUGGGGGAAAGUUGAAUUUGAGCCAUCACAGGGAGUAGAAAAUGGGACCUGGAGUCCAAGAGCAAGGUAAAGACUGAAGAUUAAAAAAAUGGGGGUGAUGAACAUCAAGUAGACAGCUGAGACAUGAAGGCAAAUUAGAUCAGUGCUAGAAAAUAUAGGAUAAAAAGAAAGGCUGAGAUAGUCUCAUGGCCACAGUCAUGCAUGGAUACUGAGAAGUCCACUGCCUGCUGUGAGCUGCUCACUGACUGGCUCUCUCAUUCUUUCCGUUCACAACGUGGGGCAUGGCAACCUCCUCUGAGCAUGUGGAUUCACCAGUAGAAACCUUCCGUAAAAUGACUCAUUAAACUGCUUGUUGUCUUCCCAUCCAUCACAGGCCAAAACAUGUUCCCAGGCAACCCGAAGUCCUCACCCAAUAAUAACUCAGGAGAAGAUAGCCAGUAAAAGGGUGGUAUCCCAAUUUCCUCUUCCUCCAGCCAUACAAAGGGGCCUGUGAUUAUUUAUUAUGCAGAGACAAAGGAGCAGAGAGUCCCUGAUAUGACUCUGCAAAGCAUUCAUUUGCCCUAUCAUAGUACAUUAAGUGCCUUUACUUCAAAAUUCCCUGCCAGCCCCUCCACACCCCCUUGGUGGGCUCAGCCAUGGCAGCAGAGAUUGGGAGGCAGGUUUCUGGGGAAA
rnacentral:lncRNA from 1 species